rnacentral:rRNA from 1 species
CCUACGGGAGGCAGCAGUAAGGAAUCUUGCGCAAUGGGCGAAAGCCUGACGCAGCGACGCCGCGUGGGUGAUGGAGGCCUUCGGGUCGUAAAGCCCUGUGGAGGAGGGAAGAACAGCCCGCAAGGGUCUGACGGUACCUCCUAAGCAAGCACCGGCCAACUACGUGCCAGCAGCCGCGGUAAAACGUAGGGUGCAAACGUUGUUCGGAAUUACUGGGUGUAAAGCGCGUGUAGGCGGCUAAGUGUGUCGAUGGUAAAAGCCCCCGGCUCAACCGGGGAAAGUCGAUCGAAACUGCUUGGCUAGAGUACGGGAGAGGGGGAUGGAAUUCCAGGUGUAGAGGUGAAAUUCGUAGAUAUCUGGAGGAACACCGAUAGCGAAGGCAGUCCCCGGGACCGUUUCUGACGCUGAGACGCGAAAGCGGGGGGAGCAAACAGGAUUAGAUACCCCUGUAGU